GUCAGGUAUAGCAUAGCAGAGCAGAGCACGUAAUGGUUAGAUCUAUCUCCUUCUGGAGGUAAAAAAAUUUUAUGGAAAUGUGAAACCUAAUUCAUGAACUUUCUGCAGUUUGGGGCUUUACACAGGCAAGGAACCUUGAAAUCCUCACAUUCGUCUGGAUCAAACAAGUAGUCGUACGUUAAUUCAUCACCAGCAGCCACAUUUGCCUUUGCGAUAAGUACAAUCCGACUCUCAUCAGCUCCUACACUCAUGAUCCGUGCAUAGCAGUUUGGCAUGCAUGAAUGGUUAAUUAAACGUGCAAUGUUUCCCUUGUCAGUGGCAUCAACCACAACUUCUUCACUAAUCUUAAAUAGAUAGCAAUCUUUUCCCUCAACACGAUAUCGUGCCUCCCUCAAAUCUGCAACACUGCGUCUGACCUGCUCACCACGAUACUCCAGAACCAUCUCUCCUUCUGGAAUAUUUCUACGAGCAAACAAGCCCCAUCUAUGUAUCCCAGAUCUACCAAAGC
rnacentral:misc_RNA from 1 species